UGUCACAGUGCCGUGGAGUCACAGAAUGCCCCGUGUUGGGAGUGGCCCAUAAGGAUGGUGGAGAGCAGCUCUUGGCUGUGCUCAGGACCAGCUGCAGAUGUAGAAGACAGAACUAGCUCAGGGUCCUGGGGGAAUGCAGGACAUCCUAGUCCAUCCAGGAACUAUGGAGAUGGGACUCACUAUGAUCAUAUGGCGAGCAGAGACCUCGGGUCACAUGACAAUCUCUCUCCUCCAUUUGUCAAUUCCAGAAUACAAAGGGAAGAUGGUGCUGUGUAAAUACACAACGUGAAGGGGAGCUGGUACCAACUGAGAAAUAAGUGUAGCAAGAAUAUUCUGCGCGGUUGUGCUAUGAAUAAAUACUGUGAUGGGAAGGGAACCAGCAGCCUAAUGUGGAUGAACAGCCACGGUAAAAGGUAAUGUAGGAAAGGAAGGAAGAAUGUAAGAUGGAAAACAUCAAGCGCUGUCGGGAGAAUGCAUGGAAUGAGGGCGAAUGUUAAGAAACAAUAAUACCAAAGCAAAGAUGGAAAGAGAGAAGGAAGACUGCGUGAGGUUAAGAUAAAUAACCACGGAAGAUUAUUGCGAUGCAUAAAGAAAAAGAGGUCAGUAAAGCUGAUUUUAGGACCUCUUAGAGAUGGAAAGGGUAAUUUAUUGACAGAUGAUGUAGACACUGCUAAAAAAUAAAUGGAUUUUUCGCCUCAGUGUUCACAAAAGAGGAUGGGGAACAGAUGCCAGAAUCAGAUAUAGAUUUCCCAGGAGAGAGUCGAGAAAUAUUGAAGGAAACAGGGAUUAUUCCGGAAUGGGUGAUCACACGGUGGGUGAGAACAUCAGUAGUUGGAUUAAACUCCAUAGAGGAGCCGUCGUGGAAUCCUUAAAUAAGAAAAGAGAAAGGAAUAUUUAUUUGUGGAAAAAAAAAUCCGCCCAAACCAGCUCUGCCUUCCAUUCCUUACUGUCCUCUGCUGUCACAUCAGUGACCCCGAGGAGCUCCGGGUUUGUCCCGUGCUGUCGGCUGCCUGCCACUGCGUUCAGCCUCACUGCAGAGCUGACACUGGGCCGGUCUGAACCUGGGCCUGCAAAGCACUCAUUCCUGCAUUUUGAUGCUCUUUCCGACUCUCCUGACGGCUUAGAAGAGUGCUGCUCUUGUGGCACGGUCUGCGGGAUGUGACCCUGGCUGAGCUUCGUGUUGUGAAUGACAGACAUCAGCGUUGCGGUGCGUUUUCCUGCCAGCCCUGCUGCUGAGUCUGAUGCUGGUUUCUUCAGAGCCGUUUCUGGCCGCCCAGCUUUGCUAUCAGAUGUUCUCGUGCCUCUUCCUGAUCCAGAUUAAUUAGUUUAUUGUGUUGGUUGGGCUCUAGUGUAUCCACGGGAGCGAAGCCUAUAGGAUUGGCUGGCAGUAGCCGUUGUUAAAGUUGGAGGAAAAGCAGGAUGCUUGAUCUCCAUUCAGCAGGCAAACUGCAAACCCCGUGGGAGGCAGCGGGUAGGAUAUUUAACGCAGAGCUAAAUCGUAGAAAGACUGUGCUGAGGACUUGCGGUCUUCUACGUUGGAAGAGCAGCAAUUAAAAUUUAGCAAUAUUUGGUGGAAGAAGAAGCAGGCUGGAACUUGGAUUGUCCAUCUGGUGGAGGCGAUCUGUAACAUUUGGAUACCAAGCUGAUUCUGCAAAACACUUGUUUUUAAAACCGUGCAGUACUUCAGAAAAAGAAUCCAGAUCAAACAGUUUCAGGUCCCACCAGGCAGCAGUUUCCUUCCAGUCCUUUGGAAAGCUUUUUCAGAAGUCCAAACUCUUUCUUCUGUCCCGAGAGGGGAUCCCACCUUCUUCCCAAAUGCAGCUGCCGGAAGAUUUUCUCUGCCCGUUUCUCAUCCCUGCAGCUGCAGGGCAAAGGUUUCAGCAGGGGCAGUUCUGCCUUCCUCUCCCCUUCUUGCCUCGACCUGCAGCCUGCGCAUCCCUGUGGCUCUGCUGCUCAUCCCACGGAGACGCACCUGCUGCUGCCUCCGCACGGCCUCGCUGGUGGCACCUGGGAGAUGCUGAGGGUUGAGGAAUAGGAAAGUGGUUGGUGGGCUGAUGAAGCUCCUGGAAGUUGACCUGGAUUUGCGCGGAGCUUUCUUUUAAGGCUGAUCUCUGUAGAAACAUCCUGUAGAUGUGCAGUAGCUUGGAUGCUGCUAGGUAUGCCUGUUUGUCACCGUGGCAUAUGCUCAAUUCUGCCACCAGCCGCUGCAGUGGCAUCUCUUGGGAUGCAAGGGAUUGCAGAGGAAUCUUUGAAUAGAUGAUAAAUUCUCAUAAUCCCUGUUGUGUGGAUGGGAAAUCUCACAUGCUUCCAGAGAUGGAGCCUAUCACCUGCAGCCAUCCUCUCGCAGGCGUUUUGAUGCUCCAAACAGCAUCCUUAUAACUGUGGUGUCAUUAAGGUUGGAGAAGACCUCCAAGACCACCGAGUCCCACCCAGUCCCAUCCCCACCACCCCACCACCACGUCCCCCAGUGCCACAUCUCCACGGUUCUUGGAAAUCGUGUUCCUUAUUCCUCAGUUGAGGCGGAAUCCUAAAUCCGCUCAGUGUGGUCUCAGUUUACCACUUCUGGAAGCUGCAGAGAGCCCAAACCUGUCGGAGCAGUAGUGGUUAUGGGAAGGAGUAAUGCUCACAGCUUCUUCUUUCAGUUAGGCUGGGUUGUGUUGGUGUUAGACUUGUGGAUGUUCACCCGAGAUUGACUUCCAUUAUAGAGGAACUUUAGCCUUCUGCUGUAAACUCAAAAAUCGGCUUUCCAUGCCCUGAGUCAACAUUUUCCGUAUCUGUAGCAUAGCCCAAAUCCCUGCCACUUAAAAACCUAUUUUGUGCUGUUUUGUUGUUGGAUUCGCAGUAGGACGUGACCAGUGGGGCUCCAGCCCUUGAGUCUUUUUGCUUCUCUCUGUAGUCUGAAUACGGACCGCAAGUUCACUACCCAAAUUGGAGUCAGCCCAGGGGGUCCCUGCAGCCCCUCCUCCAGGGGAGCCCGGCAGGCUCAGCAGGCAGCAGGAUGUGCUUGAAGCAGGCUGUGCCUCCAUCGUGUCGCCAGGCAGUCCUUCCCAGUAUGUUUUGUUUGACGAGAUUUCACCUCUUUGUACGGCGGAGCAAUUCUCUGUCUAACUUUUGAUUUUUUUUCUAACAUGCGAAAUGUUUUUGAUCACAUUAUAUGGAGCUGUCAUCACACCCUGAACAGUUGCAGUCUCUGUGCCUGCUCAUGUGGUGCACACCUGUAACAUGUUGGGAAUGGACUUGGCUUUGAAGCUAGACUUGUUCUCUCAUAAGAGCCCACAUAUUUCUUCCAUCAUGUAAUGAGAUUUGCUGAUGAUACAGAAUGGAGGGGAGCGAGCUGCACUUUAAAGAAAGGCAGCAUAAAACACAGCUUUGGCCACAGCUCUGCAGAUGGACCUGGGCAAAGGAGCAUCUGAAUGUGGCUCUGUGGAAUCACAGGGAUCGGCGUGAUGCUGUCUCUGUCGUUUACUUUCAAUGCUUUCAAGAUUAUAAAAUGCACAGUAAAAUGAUUGCUUAAAUGCGGGGUGGGAGUAAAAGGUAAAAGGGGGGGAGAGGGAGGAAAGAUGUGUUGGUGAGUGCUUGGGGAAAGCUGGUGGUGGGGAGGGUGCGAAGCUCUGCAGGUGUUGGGAAUGGAGAUGUCCCCUGCGCCGGGGCAGCCGUGCAGGAUAAGGGGGGAAGAAGGCAAUGUGAAUCUGCUCUGCUCUGAUAGUGACAGGAAGAGAGGCUGUGCCAAGUGAGAAACCAGACUGGGCUUUGGUGGCUGCUGGGCACAGCUGGGGAGCUGGGUUGUCCUGGGCCCGUCUGGGUGAAGGGAGCAAGGUGAGGAUUUAGGAUUCUGCCUAAAUGGAGGAGUAAGGAUUACACCAUGGAGAUGUGGCACUGGGAGACCUGAUCAGUGGGCAUGGUGGGGGGAGAGGGGUUGGGUGAGUCUUGGUGGUCUUGGAGGUCUUUUCCAACCUUAACGACUCCAUAGUUACAAGGAUGCUGUACUGUUCUGCACAGGUGCUGGUGUUUAAUGGAGGCAGACAGGUCUGAGGGGUGAUGGAAAGCAGUACAUGUAAACCUUCACCCAAAUACAAAACAGGAGUAUGGGGGUUUUUUUGUUUUUUGUUUGUUUGUUUGUUUGUUCAUUUGUUUGUUUGAUUUUUGGAGAUAAUGGUCUGAGAUUCGUGAGCAAAGGUUGAAUAAAAGUCAAAGGAAACUGUUUUGGCACUUUGUAAGGGAUGAGUGAGGCCACAUCCGUAAUCCUGUGCAUGGUUCUUGUCACCUUAUUAUUAGAGCUGUGUAAAUCUGGCAAGGAUUUGUAUUUGCCAAAUAUACCCCUGGCCUAGAUUUGGGCUUAUAUUUGGAAUUGGGGCCAGUUUUAACGCCUGUGCAGUUGGUAAUUUUUGCCAGUUCUAAGCGAAAUAACAGGGAAGAGGAUAAUGAAGGACAGGAGAGUCAUCAGAGCAGAAAACUAAGGAAGGUAAAGGAAUCAAAAAAAGAAAAGGAAAAAAAGGGCAGAGCAAUAUGGAGCCCAUUCCCUCUUUUCCACCUACAGCCCUUGCAGUCUUUCCUGCUUCUUUGUUCUUCCCUCUGAAUUUAGAGGGAUUGAAUUAAGCUGUGCACUCUCUCUGCUCCGCUUGUGCUCUCACAUUCUUUUUCUCAUUUGCAGACUUCCCUCUUUGCCUCUCUUUCAUCAGUUCCCCCACCUCCAGCUCUCCUCCCGGUGUCCCUGGGUGCACGUGCUGACUGUGAGCACAGCUCUGGCCUGCACAGCGCAUCCUGUUGCUUUGAUGUGCUCGCAUACCAGCGAGAUUAAAAUCCUGAGGAUCGACAAGCAUUGCGCUCGCCUUGAUGAGCGGAGCCUCGCUAACACUGCUGGGGGAGAGGUGACUUCUCAUGUCCUCUCACCCCAUGCACGGGGUCGGUGGAACGUGCAGUCUCUGUGGGGCUUUCCCAAGGUCUCCUUGCUGUGUUGCUGGGUGAGCUGCUUGCCCUGUGGGUUCUGGGUGAAUCCACUUCCCCUGGCAGUGCCUGCAGUGCUUGAGCAAGGUGGAAGUUAGUCCACCUCUUCACCUUAGCAUCAUCGGAUCUUUCUAUUGUGGAGGUGGAUGAGGGGAUGGGAUGGGAGCAGAUGAGGAGUGUGCCUGUGGAGAGGACAGGAGGAGCUGGUAUAGCGGCCAGGGUUGGUUUUGCAGAUGGAUUUUGCUCACCUAGGUAGGAAGUUGUGACUCCUCAGGAUCACCCAGAAAACCAAGGGCAAAACCAGAAUAAAAUCCUGAAAUCAGUUCCUUGAAAAGAGGUUAUAGCGAGGUGGGGUCAGCGUCUUUUCUGAGGUAGGAGAUACAGGAUGAGAGGCGGUUGUGCUGGGGAGAUUCCGUGUGCACGUUAGGAAACAUUUCAUCUCCUGAGGAGUGCUGAUGCCCUGGCACAGCUGCCCAGGGAGGUGGUGGGGUCACUGACUCUGGAGGUGUUCCAGAACCACAGAGAUGUGAUGG